GCGUCCCCAGCGCUUUAAACGGCACAUCUUCUGCGAGCGGGAAGCGUCGUCCGGACAAGAAAGCGUCGCCGCUGUUAAGGCCUCCUGCGGGCCUCGGAGGCAACCAUUCAUACACUGCUGGGUUGCUCUAUCCAUUCAGUGACUCAGUGAGUGUCAACUGUAUUCAGCUUGAUAAGAAAGAAUGGCUUUAACAAGAUGAAAAUGGCAGAAAUGGAGGUUCACAGAUGGUGGGAGGUUCCACUCUAGAGAAUCCUAGGGGGCAAAAGCAGGUAGAACAACAGAGGGAAGCCCCAGUCCGAGGUCACGUGUCACGGAGCACAGAGCAAGCUGGCCUGGAGGCCCAGGGCAGGAGAAGCCACGGCCGUGAGCAGGACCACAAGAGGGACCAAGAGCAGGUGAGGCAGAGAGCAGGAUCUUAAUGCACAUUGUUCAUCAUCUCUUUUCAUUGUUCAAAUCAUUUUAAACGUACCUCUUUUCACUCUAAUUGACAGAUUGACUGUCCACUGUGGAGCGGGUGCCCCUGAGGAAACACAGCUGUCACCCAGAUUUGAGUGAUCAUUAAGUAGAUCUCCCCAUAUCCACCCCAUGAUUUUGUUAUUGCACCAUACUUAUUUUCUUUAUUAAACUUAAGAAAAUUUUCAGCCUCACGGAACACAAGACCAAAACUCAAAGCAGCAUAACCAAUAAGGAAACAUCUUAACUCAAUAGCAUGCUUCCCAGCAUCUCCAGAACUGGUUCACUCAAAGAUCACAGCAGCCUUAAGGACACAGCUCCCUGGGUCUCCCUCUCUGCCAUCCAUGUCAUGUUGGCUUCCCUCAGCCUAGGCCCCCUCACUAUUCCAGGUGGCAGCCACAAAGGUCCUGGUGUCACCUGUUGACACAACCACCUCCAGUACCAGAGGUCUAGGUCUUCCUCUAUGUCUCUUUUUAAGAACCAUUCCCAAGAGCCCCCUAUAGCAGUCAAGGUUUGGAUAGGGAAGAGCUGGUACUCUCACAGAAUUUAAUUGAAGUGAAUUUGACAGAGGGACCAUUUAAAGACCUUGAGCAGAAGU